CCAUGGUUGUUUCUUGUGGAGGCUUUGGUGAAAGAGUUGAGUUGUGUUUCACCUGCAACUUGGUUUGCCCAAUCUGUUGGCGAAUCGAGUCGAUAAUCUUGGGAUCAACUGGGUUACCUGUCACGUCUGUGACAUAGAAUGUGUCUUUGGCUUUACCACCUUUUGUUGAGAUUUCUGCCCUCCUGAUACAUAAACUGUUUUCUCUGAAUAUUCUGGUAAUGUCUGAUAGAAGUCCAACACGAUCCUCUGUGCAUAAUUCUAGCUCAAGGCCCUCAGAUGCUCCCAAGAUUAUCGAC
rnacentral:misc_RNA from 1 species